rnacentral:rRNA from 1 species
CAGCCGCCGCGGUAAUACGGAGGGGGCUAGCGUUGUUCGGAAUUACUGGGCGUAAAGCGCACGUAGGCGGCUUGGUAAGUUAGAGGUGAAAGCCCGGAGCUCAACUCCGGAAUUGCCUUUAAGACUGCCGAGCUAGUAGGUGAGAGAGGUAAGUGGAAUUCCGAGUGUAGAGGUGAAAUUCGUAGAUAUUCGGAAGAACACCAGUGGCGAAGGCGGCUUACUGGCUCAUUCUAGACGCUGAGGUGCGAAAGCGUGGGGAGCAAACAGGAUUAGAUACCCCGGUAGUCCCUGUCUCUUAUAC